rnacentral:tRNA from 1 species
GGGUCUUUAGCUCAGCUGGCUAGAGCGUACGAUUCACAUUCGUAAGGUCACUGGUUCGAGCCCAGUAAGACCCACCA